rnacentral:rRNA from 1 species
UACGGGGGGGGCAAGCGUUGUUCGGAAUUACUGGGCGUAAAGGGCUCGUAGGCGGCCAACUAAGUCGGACGUGAAAUCCCCAGGCUCAACCUGGGAACUGCGUCCGAUACUGGAUGGCUUGAAUCCGGGAGAGGGAUGCAGAAUUCCAGGUGUAGCGGUGAAAUGCGUAGAGAUCAUGAGGAAGACCAGUGGCGAAGGCGGGUCUCUGGACAGUUCCUGACACUGAGACACGAAGGCCAGGGGAGCAAAACGGG